AAUGCCUACCACGUAUUCUCAUAGUAUUGCUAUAUUUCUGGUUAUUCAAUGCAUUGGAAUAAAUCUGUUUGAUUCAUCAUAUGUCCACAACGACAAAUUGUUACAUGUCAAAGGCAGUGAGACCAAAGCUUAUGAAACUGAUGUGUUCACAAAAUUUGAACUUGGUUAUUACUUGAAACAGUCAUCCCGUAUUAGAAAGUAUUCUUUGUACAAACCAGUCAAAAUAUAACGAUUCCGAUAUUAAAAUGAAGACAUAAUUCUAUAGUUACGAGAGGAUCUACAUCAGUGCUGAAAUACUGCUCAGAAAACAUUGCGAAAUGCUAUUUUUUAAAUAUUUAUUGUUGUUCACCUAGGUACUUCAAAAGUUAUUAUAUUAAAGAAUUAAUAUG